rnacentral:rRNA from 1 species
AGAAUUUUUCACAAUGGGCGCAAGCCUGAUGGAGCGACGCCGCGUGGGGGAUGAAGGGUUUCGAUCCGUAAACCCCUGUCAUUUGCGAACAAACCUUGAUUGUGAAUAGCGAUCGAGCUGAUUGUAGCGGAAGAGGAAGGGACGGCUAACUCUGUGCCAGCAGCCGCGGUAAUACAGAGGUCCCCAGCGUUGUUCGGAUUCACUGGGCGUAAAGGGUGCGUAGGUGGUCGGUGAAGUUCGGUGUGAAAGCUCGGAGCUCAACUCCGAAACGGCAUUGAAAACUCAUCGGCUGGAGGGUCGGAGGGGAGACUGGAAUUCUCGGUGUAGCAGUGAAAUGCGUAGAUAUCGAGAGGAACACCAGUGGCGAAGGCGAGUCUCUGGACGACUCCUGACACUGAGGCACGAAAGCCAGGGGAGCAAACAG